rnacentral:rRNA from 1 species
CCCUAUGGGGUGCAGCAGGCGCGAAAACUUCACACUGCAGGAAACUGUGAUGAGGGAACUCCAAGUGCGCGCACUUAUGUGUGCGCUUUUCUUGACUAUUAAUUGGUCUUGGAAUAAGGGCUGGGAAAGACCGGUGCCAGCCGCCGCGGUAAUACCGGCAGCUCAAGUGGUCGUCGCUUUAUUUGGGCCUAAAACGUCCGUAGCCUGUUUGGUAAAUCUGUGGGUAAAUCAACCAGCUUAACUGGUUGAAUUCUGCAGAGACUGCCAGACUAGGGACCGGGAGAGGUGUGGGGUACUCUAGGGGUAGGGGUAAAAUCCUGUCAUCCUUAGAGGACCACCAGUUGCGAAGGCGCCACACUGGAAUGGAUCCGACGGUCAGGGACGAAGCCUAGGGGCACGAACCGGAUUAGAUACCCGGGUAGUCCUAGGUGUAAACGCUGUGAACUUUGGUGUCGGGAGUCCCGCAAUGGGCCCCCCGGUGCCGGAUUGAAGAUGUUAAGUUUCACUUGCCUGGGGAGUACGGUCGCAAGGCUGAAACUUAAAGGAAUUUGGCGGGGGAGCACUGCAACGGGAGGAGCGUGCGGUUUAAUUUGGAUUUCAACGCCGGAAAACUCACCAGGGCCGACUGUUAGAUGAAGACCAGUGUAACGAACUUGUCGGAUUUUCUAAAGGAAGUGCAUGGCCAA